rnacentral:rRNA from 1 species
GAUGAACGCUGGCGGCGUGCCUAAUACAUGCAAGUAGAACGCUGAAGGAGGAGCUUGCUCUUCUGGAUGAGUUGCGAACGGGUGAGUAACGCGUAGGUAACCUGCCUGGUAGCGGGGGAUAACUAUUGGAAACGAUAGCUAAUACCGCAUGACAACAGUUAUUGCAUGAUAACUGUUUAAAAGGGGCAACUGCUCCACUACCAGAUGGACCUGCGUUGUAUUAGCUAGUUGGUGAGGUAACGGCUCACCAAGGCGACGAUACAUAGCCGACCUGAGAGGGUGAUAGGCCACACUGGGACUGAGACACGGCCCAGACUACUACGGGAGGCAGCAGUAGGGAAUCUUCGGCAAUGGACGGAAGUCUGACCGAGCAACGCCGCGUGAGUGAAGAAGGUUUUCGGAUCGUAAAGCUCUGUUGUAAGAGAAGAACGAGUGUGAGAGUGGAAAGUUCACACUGUGACGGUAUCUUACCAGAAAGGGACGGCUAACUACGUG